rnacentral:rRNA from 1 species
CAGGACGAACGCUGGCGGCGUGCCUAACACAUGCAAGUCGAGCGAGGAGAUCCUUCGGGAUGAUCCUAGCGGCGGACGGGUGAGUAACACGUGGGCAACCUGCCUCGUAGAGAGGAAUAGCCUUCCGAAAGGGAGAUUAAUACCUCAUAACAUUGCAGUUUCGCAUGGAACAGCAAUUAAAGGAGCAAUCCGCUAUGAGAUGGGCCCGCGGCGCAUUAGCUAGUUGGUGAGGUAACGGCUCACCAAGGCGACGAUGCGUAGCCGACCUGAGAGGGUGAUCGGCCACAUUGGGACUGAGACACGGCCCAGACUCCUACGGGAGGCAGCAGUGGGGAAUAUUGCACAAUGGGGGAAACCCUGAUGCAGCCAACGCCGCGUGAGUGAUGACGGCCUUCGGGUUGUAAAGCUCUGUCUUCAGGGACGAUAAUGACGGUACCUGAGGAGGAAGCCACGGCUAACUACGUGCCAGCAGCUGC